UUUUUUAAAUGUGUUCUCAGAAUGCAGGAAAUGCUAUUUUAGAGAUCCAAAUUUUAAAAAUUUCCUGGGAGGGCCGACAUGCCCCCAGCUUCAACCCCUGCGGUAAUCUGCUCACACCUUCGGCGAUUAUGCUGGGGGAGGGCAAGGAAAAUGGGCCCUUUGGCACUUUUGCCCCACCACUGAAGAAUCCUUAAAAAAUGCACUGGAGCUCAACCUCGCUUUGCUCGUUGAGUUUCGGAAACUUAUUUGGUUUAUACAGUUUAGCAUAAACUUGAUGCAUAAUAACAUGAUUUCUGAGUAUAAAGCAGUUUUGAGUUUUGCCUUUUGGAUUAUUUCCUUUGUCAGUAUCGCUUAUCACGUCGGCAAAGCGAUGCCGACAAAGAGAAAAGUCGCUUCGCGUGAACACUGAAUUCCGCCUAGUAGAAAACUGGCUUAAGAACACCACUUCGUGAUUUCAAAGCCUGUAUUUUACUUCUAACCCGCGCUAUUACGAUUACUAUAUACUGUAGCUUGUCACGUGUCACAGAAAAUAUUUAAAAACGAAUAAAAAUUAUUUUCAAACUAAUUGCGAAAAUUUCGAAAAAUUACCAAAGUAAUUACCAAACAUUUUCAAUUACCAAAUCUUCCUAAAAUUACCAAAACAGGGUUCGUAGCGGUCUUUGAAAUCCUUGAAAGUCUUUAAAUUGGAAUGCAGGUCUUUGAGGUCUUUGAAAAGUCUCUAAAUUGUGUGAAAAAGCGAAGAAAGUCUUUAAAAGUCUUUAAAUUCUUUAGUGAGGAAUUGAUUAUACGAUUUCCUAGCUAAUAAAAUAGAUUGAUUGAAUCAAGAUAUUCGCAAAUAUCGACGAAAAUGCGCAUUUUAGGAUGUGAUUUGACGGGACUAAUUACCGGGUAAAAAUGGUGCUUACACUCGCAAUUUUUCGACAGCUGAUUGCUCUCAAAGGUCUUUGAAAAUAGGCAGAAAAAAUCUUUGAAAGUCUUUGAAUUUUUUUGGUCUUGGAGACUACGAACCCUGCAAAAGUAACUUAAAUUACCGUAUCACACUGCGACUCGUAUCAUUCACUGCGAGGUUGAGCUCAAAUUUCUGGAAGUCGUUUUGCUCCUGGCAAUGUGAGACAAGAUAAAAUGCGUUACAGUGCGAGUCGACUUGCAUGCAGUAUAUAAGUCUACCAAAAUACCAAAUCCUAAAGGGCUGUGUUCAUUUGAGCUGAGAUGAAU